rnacentral:lncRNA from 1 species
GUUACCAGCAGCCGGAAUGGCUCCUCUUCUUCUUACUCGAGAGGAAGCCGUUCUUCUGUACGCCCGGCGUGGAAACCGACGCUUCCCCGGUGCCACGUGCAGCGCCUCGUCCUCCGAGCUUCCAGACCUUCAGCUCCCAGUUCGGACGAGCUGGUGGUGAACGGAGUGCCCGGUAGUCGUUGCCACGUGAACGUGCUCCUGGACGUUCGUAGACGAGCAGUUUUUGCCUGGAAAUGGAGGGCAGAUCAGACCAACAAUGUCCACCGGCGUGACACCACCAAGCCACCGUAAGGGACUUUAUUAGAUAUCAGGCCAUCUGCUGAACCCGUGCAAAUAAUACUUCCAUCCACACGAGGGCUGCUUUAUUAAAAAACCUACACACGGCAUACUAGGCGAAUCCGCCGCGGGUAGAUCAUGGGCAGCUAUUUAGCGCCGCCUAGUGGUGUGAGUUUCCAUAUGUUCACUAGCGAGUCCCGUAAGUGGAACGGAAAGCCUGUCGCUGGACUCUGUACUGCCAUGCUGGGGACCUCUCCGCCAGGCCCAUGACCCGUCCACAACCCUCGCCAAGAGGUACAAAGUGGUCUAGAUUUGUUCCCAGUAUGGGUGCGGUGGGAUGCCGAUUUACAGCAUUAUCCAGAGCAACUUACAAUCAGUAGUUACAGGGACAGACACUCAGGGUUAAGUGUCUUGCUCAGGGACACGAUGGUAGUAAGUGGGAUUUGAACCUGGGUCUUCUGGUCCAUAGGCGAGUGUGUUACCCACUAGGCCACUACCAUCCUCUCCUACCACAGGCAGGUAGCCGCGUGGUCCUCAGGCUGGAGAUUCACCUGCUGCUGUGAUGCACCGUGGGGGGCGCGGACCCCAGUUAUAAAGAGCGCGGCGGACCCCUCCGCCAACGGUGGGUUAACGAAAGAAAGUGAGGUGGCCAUGCAGGGACUGAAAUAACAUUGUGCCAGCAGAAACCUCGAUAGACCUCCAGCAGGAGCUCCAUGGGCCACCUGAGCACGCGAGAGGUCGCCGCAUUGGGCGCGCCACCAUCCGCGACUGCGGCGUCAGGAACCCGGACGGAAGCUGCAGAGAAUGCGCCCAGCCCCUCUACAUGUUUGAGAACAUCUGCGUGGCCUCCUGUCCCCCGCGUUAUUUCGCCCGGGACGGAAACCGGCGCCGCUGCCUGCCCUGCCACCGCUCCUGCCACACCUGCUCCGGCGCGGGCGAGGCCGACUGCCUGGACUGCCCCCUGCUCUCCACCCUCAGCCCGCGGCUCGGCACCUGCGGCGCCCCGGCGUUCCCCUGGGACCGGCGCGCGGAGAUCCGGGAGGACAUGGCCGGCACGGCGGCGGCGCUGGGCGUCCUGCUGGCCGCCCCCGCGGCGGCGCUGGUCCUGGCGUGGGCGGCGGCGUGGCUGGCGGCCGCGCCCCGCUGUACGAGGCCCGGGAGAAGGGCCGAGAACCCCGAGAACGUCGAGAUGGCGCCCAGCCCCGACCCGGUGCGGAACUAGAUAGCCGAACCGGCCC